GAUGAACGCUGGCGGCGUGCCUAAUACAUGCAAGUCGAGCGAUUCUCUUCGGAGAAGAGCGGCGGACGGGUGAGUAACGCGUGGGUAACCUGCCCUGUACACACGGAUAACAUACCGAAAGGUAUGCUAAUACGGGAUAAUAUGCUUUAGUCGCAUGGCUGAAGUAUCAAAGCUCCGGCGGUAUAGGAUGGACCCGCGUCUGAUUAGCUAGUUGGUAAGGUAACGGCUUAACAAGGCGACGAUCAGUAGCCGACCUGAGAGGGUGAUCGGCCACAUUGGAACUGAGACACGGUCCAAACUCCUACGGGAGGCAGCAGUGGGGAAUAUUGCACAAUGGGCGAAAGCCUGAUGCAGCAACGCCGCGUGAGCGAUGAAGGCCUUCGGGUCGUAAAGCUCUGUCCUCAAGGAAGAUAAUGACGGUACUUGAGGAGGAAGCCCCGGCUAACUACGUGCCAGCCGCCGCCGUAA
rnacentral:rRNA from 1 species